GGACUACUGGGGUAUCUAAUCCUGUUUGCUCCCCACGCUUUCGCAGUUGAGUGUCAGUAUCUGUCCAGGUCGCCGCCUUCGCCUCUGGUGUUCCUCCCGAUCUCUACGCAUUUCACCGCUACACCGGGAAUUCCACGACCCUCUCCAGAACUCGAGUCUCACCGUUUCUAGGGCACUUCUUGAGUUAAGCUCAAGGAUUUCACCCUAGACAAAUGAGACCACCUACUUGCCCUUUACGCCCAAUGAUUCCGAGCAACGCUUGCACCCUCUGUAUUACCGCGGCUGCUGGCAC
rnacentral:rRNA from 1 species